rnacentral:rRNA from 1 species
GGGUGAGUAACGCGUGGAUAACCUGCCCUUUAGUGGGGAAUAACCCGGGGAAACUCGGGCUAAUACCGCAUAAGACCGAGAGGUGAAAGCGGGGUCGCAAGAUCUCGUGCUGAAGGAGGGGUCCGCGUUCGAUUAGCUAGUUGGUAGGGUAAUGGCCUACCAAGGCGACGAUCGAUAGCCGGCCUGAGAGGGUGAUCGGCCACACUGGAACUGAGACACGGUCCAGACUCCUACGGGAGGCAGCAGUGGGGAAUUUUGCGCAAUGGGCUAACGCCUGACGCAGCAACGCCGCGUGGAGGAUGAAGGUCUUUGGAUUGUAAACUCCUGUCAGCAGGGAAAAAGCGAAUCGGGUUAAUACCCCGGUGAGUUGAUUGUACCUGCAGAGGAAGCCCCGGCUAACUCUGUGCCAGCAGCCGCGGUAAUACAGAGGGGGCAAGCGUUAUUCGGAAUUAUUGGGCGUAAAGGGCGCGUAGGCGGCUUUUCAAGUGGCGGGUGAAAUCCCUCGGCUUAACCGAGGAACUGCCUGCCAGACUGGAUUGCUUGAGGCCGGGAGAGGUGAGUGGAAUUCCCAGUGUAGCGGUGAAAUGCGUAGAUAUUGGGAGGAACACCAGUGGCGAAGGCGGCUCACUGGACCGGUACUGACGCUGAGGCGCGAAAGCGUGGGGAGCAAACAGGAUUAGAUACCCUGGUAGUCCACGCCGUAAACGAUGAGUGCUUGGUGUAGCGGGUAUCGACCCCUGCUGUGCCGAAGUCAACACAUUAAGCACUCCGCCUGGGGAGUACGGUCGCAAGACUGAAACUCAAAGGAAUUGACGGGGGCCCGCACAAGCGGUGGAGCAUGUGGUUUAAUUC